UGACACGGUAAUUAACAACUUGCAGUUAUUUUCCAUGAACAGUUUUAAUCAAUUUUAAAAAGUAAAUUAUCACUGAUAUUCGAUAUAUUUAUUAUUGAUUUAAUUAAACUACUUGUAUCUUCUUUCAAUAAAAAACACGUGUUAUGUUACAAUUUUUAUCGCUAGUCAACACUAUACUAGAACUGCAUAACAUAACCGGAAAUAAACAUCCGACUCCAUACACAUUUAUCGGGAUUAUUCUUCGUUGAAUUCUUAAAUUCGUGGUUCGCUGUGACCCACGAAACCCACGAAAAUUGGUAUACCACGAAUAAAAAU
rnacentral:lncRNA from 1 species